UCUCAGGAUGAACGCGGCGGCGUGYCUAUAAUGCAGUCGAGCGAAUGGAUUAAGAGCUUGCUCUUAUGAAGUUAGCGGCGGACGGGUGAGUAACACGUGGGUAACCUGCCCAUAAGACUGGGAUAACUCCGGGAAACCGGGGCUAAUACCGGAUAACAUUUUGAACCGCAUGGUUCGAAAUUGAAAGGCGGCUUCGGCUGUCACUUAUGGAUGGACCCGCGUCGCAUUAGCUAGUUGGUGAGGUAACGGCUCACCAAGGCAACGAUGCGUAGCCGACCUGAGAGGGUGAUCGGCCACACUGGGACUGAGACACGGCCCAGACUCCUACGGGAGGCAGCAGUAGGGAAUCUUCCGCAAUGGACGAAAGUCUGACGGAGCAACGCCSCGUGAGUGAUGAAGGCUUUCGGGUCGUAAAACUCUGUUGUUAGGGAAGAACAAGUGCUAGUUGAAUAAGCUGGCACCUUGACGGUACCUAACCAGAAAGCCACGGCUAACUACGUGCCAGCAGCCGCGGUAAUACGUAGGUGGCAAGCGUUAUCCGGAAUUAUUGGGCGUAAAGCGCGCGCAGGUGGUUUCUUAAGUCUGAUGUGAAAGCCCACGGCUCAACCGUGGAGGGUCAUUGGAAACUGGGAGACUUGAGUGCAGAAGAGGAAAGUGGAAUUCCAUGUGUAGCGGUGAAAUGCGUAGAGAUAUGGAGGAACACCAGUGGCGAAGGCGACUUUCUGGUCUGUAACUGACACUGAGSCGCGAAAGCGUGGGGAGCAAACAGGAUAA
rnacentral:rRNA from 1 species